GACCUCGUAGCUCAGUUGGUAGAGCAUUGGACUGGUAUCCCAAAAGUUGCGGGUUCGAUCCCCACCGUGGUCA